AUUGAACGCUGGCGGCAGGCCUAACACAAGCAAGUCGAACGACUGGCGGACGGGCGAGUUAUGUCUGGGAAACUGCCUGAUGGCGGGGGAUAACUACUGGCAACGGUAGCUAAUACCGCAUACCACCAGGUGUGCCAAGAUGGGAUUAGCUAGGAGGUGGGGUAACGGCUCAACUAGGCGCCGAUCCAUAGAUGGUCUGCGAGGAUGACCGUCACCACUGGAACUGAGACACGAUCCAGACUCCUACGGGAGCCGGCUUUGGGGAAUAUUGCGCAAUGGGGGCAAGCCUAAUGCAGCCAGGCCGCGUAUGUUAUGAAGGCCUUCGGGUUGUAAAGCACGUUCAGCGAGGAGGCGUUACUCGCCGAAGAAGCACCGGCUAACUCCGUGCCAGCAGCCGCGGUAAUUC
rnacentral:rRNA from 1 species